rnacentral:misc_RNA from 1 species
CGUCAUUUACACCCUCAAGCAUUGCUUGAUGUUGGGUGCUUGUCUGCGCUUAUUGCGUAGACUCGCCCUAAAAUCAUUGGCAGCAGCUUGCCAGCCUCUCGCGCAGCACUAUGCGCUCUUUGGGGCUUUGGCAAGUUGGCAUCCAUCAAGAUCCUCUCCAGUUUGACCUCGAAUCAGGUAGGGAUACCCGCUGAACUUAA